GCUGGCAUAGCUCAUCUGGUAGAGCAACUGACUUGUAAUCAGUAGGUGGUGGGUUCAAGUCCUACUGCCAGCACCA
rnacentral:tRNA from 1 species